rnacentral:rRNA from 1 species
UACGGAGGGUGCAAGCGUUAAUCGGAAUUACUGGGCGUAAAGCGCACGCAGGUGGCUGAGUCAGUCGAUUGUGAAAGCCCUGGGCUUAACCUGGGAAUUGCAGUCGAUACUACUCAGCUAGAGUAUGGGAGAGGGUAGUGGAAUUCCCGGUGUAGCGGUGAAAUGCGUAGAUAUCGGGAGGAACAUCAGUGGCGAAGGCGGCUACCUGGCCCAAUACUGACACUCAGGUGCGACAGCGUGGGGAACAAACAGG